rnacentral:rRNA from 1 species
UACGGAGGGGGCUAGCGUUGUUCGGAAUUACUGGGCGUAAAGCGCACGUAGGCGGCGCGACAAGUCAGGGGUGAAAGGCCUGGGCUCAACCUGGGAACUGCCUUUGAUACUGGCGUGCUUGAGUCCGGAAGAGGGUGGCGGAAUUCCCAGUGUAGAGGUGAAAUUCGUAGAUAUUGGGAAGAACACCGGUGGCGAAGGCGGUCACCUGGUCCGGUACUGACGCUGAGGUGCGAAAGCGUGGGGAGCAAACAGG